CAGACUGUUCUGUAAUGUACUGUUGUGCUCUGGUGAUACCAUCAUGUUGAUCAAAACCAGAAUCUACAAUACACAGAAAUAUGUCAAGAUAAAAGAGCCAAGCCUUGAGGAAUUCUUAAAUUCUGCUUUCUUGAAGUUCUCAGUUCC